rnacentral:lncRNA from 1 species
CUUACCAACAAGCCGAGAGCUGAUGGCUGUUGGUCACGACUACUAUCAAAAAGCUCCUAUGAAGAUGAAUAUUUCACAUGGAGGAGUGUGCAUCUUUAUGUUGGGUGUUCUUCUGUCGUGCGACCCGGCGGCUUAUGUGCGACCUGUGGCCCACGCCUCCUAUUUGUUCAGGGCGGGCGGCGUGAACUCUGAUUCGAUCCGGGUAAUCAUGCGACCCGGCGUCUUAUGUGUGACCUGUGGCCCACGCCUCCUAUUUGUUCAGGGCGGGCGGCGUGAACUCUGAUUCGAUCUGGGUAUUCAAUCCCGCCGCUGAGAUGCUAAGUUGACUCCUUAA